UAACACGUAGGGGGCGAGCGUUGUCCGGAAUUACUGGGCGUAAAGGGUGCGUAGGCGGCCUUAUAAGUCAUGUGUGAAAAACCCGGGCUCAACCCGGGUAUUGCAAGUGAAACUAUAGGGCUUGAGUGCAGGAGAGGGAAGUGGAAUUCCUAGUGUAGCGGUGAAAUGCGUAGAGAUUAGGAGGAACACCAGUGGCGAAGGCGGCUUCCUGGACUGCAACUGACGCUGAGGCACGAAAGCGUGGGGAGCAAACAGG
rnacentral:rRNA from 1 species